AAGGAGGCAAGAAUAUACAAUGGAGAAAGGACAGCCUCUUCAAUAAUGGUAUUGGGGAAACUGGACAGCUACCUGCAAAACAAUCAAACUGGACUACCCUCUCACACCAUAUUGAAAAAUAAAUUCAAAACGGAUUAAAGACUUAAAUGUAAGGCCCGAAGCCAUAAAACUUCUAGAAG